UUAGAACUUUUCUUAGUUUUGACUGUGGCGUAAAAAUGGUGCAGUUUUGUAGGCAGUUGGGCAAAGUGGCACUAACUUUAGCUUACGUUUUUAUAUCAGGAACUAUACCAACAUCUUUUGCUAUUCCUUUAAGCGUGGUCAUUGAUUUAAAUUCUGGUAUCCUUGGUGGUCUACUAUCUACUAUUAAGUCUGUCGUGGAUAAUAUACUUUAUAACUCAGAAGAAGCUGAUGAAACUCUUUCUAUAAGUUUCCAGACAGAUCAAGUAGAAGGUUCCAUUGCUGGGUAUGAAGGCAAUACUGAAAAAUUUACGUACAAUUGGGCUCUUAUUUUGGCAGCUUUAAUAAUAAAUUGUUACAACUUUUUAAUGUAAAGAUAUUAAGAUUCAAUUACCUCAGCAUAAAUUGAGAGGACCUUUAUGUUUCAAAUAAAUGAAAUCUGAGGUAA